GUCCCUGUUGCGCGAUGGAUAGCCUGUUGAACUUCUUAUCCAAAGGUCGUGAGUUCGAAUUUCACCUGGGAUG